ACUUCCGUAGAAAUCGGCUUGAACCGAUUUCUAAUUCGUAGGUCAGAGGUUCGAAUCCUCUCGGGCGUGCCA
rnacentral:tRNA from 1 species